rnacentral:lncRNA from 1 species
AGCUGAUUUUCUAAAAGAGAUUCUCACUAGAGAAUGUGUAAAUAAAGAAGUUCAGAUAUUUCUGUAUCAAUCAGUAAGAAAAUAUUUUGACAUAUUUUGUACAUUUUAAUUUUUUUUAAAUAUAUGGCUACAGAUGUCAUAUGUAAAAUGCAUCAAAUAUGCCUCCUGUUUGCUUCGGACUGGGACCCUGAGAACAUGUGGAGACAUGGCUCUGCCAACUUCUGGAGGCAAGAGAGUAUUCCUGAGGGAAAAUAAAACCUCAUGCAUGUUUUUAUAUCUUUCUCAUAGCAGGUAACAUGUCUGUAGCCCAGUUGGUCUUUUGCUUUGGUCCAGUGUGGUCACUUUGACAGCAAAGCUGCAGGAACCAAACAUGCAGUGUCCCACUGUUAAGUGGGAAUGCCAAGCCCAAGGCACUGUCCAGUAGCCUUUAGGGAAAGGACUUGCUGAUUGUCUGGACAUUUUGCAUUUAAAAUGUCAAUUAUUACUGUAAUUUUGGGGUACUGUGUGACUCUGGCUAAGUGACUCUGCCUUGACACCCAGAAGUAAACCCCUGGAGUGACUCCUAAGCCUUAUCCACAUGAAUGCUAAGGGAUUUUUCUUUCAUCCACUGGAACACCCGGAAAAGAAAUUACCCAUCAGUCAGGAAUGUUUAUUCCUUCAGCUCUGAGUCCAACAUGAAUCAAACUAUGACACAACUGGCUGCUUUUCUGUCUACUUUUAUGAUGAGAUUUGAUACUUUGCAGGUAACUCACCCUAGGAUUAAGGGAAACACAAACAGGUUUUCCACGGGCAGGUGACAGCGCUGAGGACUCGUUCUGCUGCCUUGCGACACCGGCAACACGAGGCCCAGUGACCUGAGCUGGAUGUGGUUGGAGAUACAUGAAGAAUUGAGAGGCUGAUCCCAGAGCUCCCUCCUGCUGUGGAUCCUGUCAUAAAUCUCUGUUGUGUUCGUGAUGCCACCUGUGCCUGUCCCAUGAUCUUUGUCAUACCAUUACCACAGGUACGCAGUGAUGUUCAGACCAGCUGAACUCAUAACAGAGCAAUGCUGG